rnacentral:rRNA from 1 species
GACGAACGCUGGCGGCGUGCCUAAUACAUGCAAGUCGAACGCACAGUUUAUACCGUAGCUUGCUACACCAUAGACUGUGAGUUGCGAACGGGUGAGUAACGCUUAGGUAACCUGCCUGGUAGCGGGGGAUAACUAUUGGAAACGAUAGCUAAUACCGCAUGAUAUUCAUUAUUGCAUGUUAAUUUAUUGAAAGGUGCAAUUGCACCACUACCAGUCGGACCUGCGUUGUAUUAGCUAGUAGGUGAGGUGACGGCUCACCUAGGCGACGAUACAUAGCCGACCGGAGAGGGUGGUCGGCCACACUGGGACUGAGACACGGCCCAGACUCCUACGGGAGGCAGCAGUAGGGAAUCUUCGGCAAUGGACGAAAGUCUGACCGAGCAACGCGGCGUGAGUGAAGAAGGGUUUCGGAUCGUAAAGCUCUGUUGUAAGAGAAGAACGGGUGUGAGAGUGGAAAGUUCACACUGUGACGGUAUCUUACCAGAAAGGGACGGCUAACUACGUG